GGGGGACGGUCCUCCGGGAUCGGCUUUCAGGAGCAGGUCUCAAACCAGUCCAAGCUGCUGCGGUAAAGAGCCGUGGUUCGAAGACGCGUCGUUAUGAACGUAAGU
rfam:Mesorhizobium sp. L48C026A00 scaffold0039, whole genome shotgun sequence.